rnacentral:rRNA from 1 species
GGCCAGCAUCAGUUUUGGUGGCNAGAUAAUGGCAGUUGAAUGUAGCUCCUAGAGUAUUAUAGCUUCUGCUGAUAUUGCCUACUGAGACUGAGGUCUGCGCUUUUGCNUAGGANGCUGCCGUAAU